rnacentral:lncRNA from 1 species
ACCAGGGCCAAGGGCAAUGACAAUGAUAUACAGGUGACAUUUAACAUGUGCGACUGUGCGUCUCACUAUUCAAAUUUGCGUGUUUAUUAAAUAAUGUUUAUCAAAGAAGGCAAAAAUAUAUACAAGACAACCUCACAUGAGGAAUCUGUUCACUUACGCACUGACUUGUGAUGCAGUACAAGUAUAAAUACAAAUGACUAAUUAAGCAUUUUUAAAUCCUAAAAUAUAAUUAAAUCAUACGGCACAUUCAAGAUUUUAUUAAUAUCGUAUUUCAGUCGCGUUCAUGCUGCUUGGCGCAUUCGCUGCCAAAAUGCCGUUUGAUCACUUUAAG